UGCUAGGGACUCUGAAAGGGGAAGCAGGAGCCUCUGCCCUGGUGACAUCUUACAGCUGCCACCCCAGCCUUUGCUUUACCCUGAACUUUCCAUCUGAGACAAACAAAGCCCUAAUAAGCUGGACUGGCAAACUGAUGCUAACAGAGUAUCAAGGAAGUAUGCUGCUUUGUGGUACCGACUUCUCACUGCUACCCUGGGACUCUAUUACCCUUCGCCAUCUUAGACUCCACAGCCAUCUCCUGAGACAUGAUUGACGGCAAGCAACCUUCCUGACCACUGCAUGGCAAACCUUUCCCUUUCAGUUAUUCAUCUUAGGAUCUGCAGAGAGCUCCCUGAUGCCUACACCCCAGUGUUAAUGACACACCCCUAGGCACCUCAGCAGUGAGCUGUCUGGACUUGCACUACAAUGGUGCAAUGAGCUUGCUGAUGAGCCAUGGUCACUCAGUGACCUGUGUAAAUCGAAGUAAAGAUGCCUGAUGUUUUCAUAGGCCUCAGCAACCUCUAUGGAGUGGAUCAGAAGACAGGCUAAACAGAUCACACUGCACUGGACUGAGGCUUAGAUUCUAGUUGUGGCAGUGGCCUCCAAUAAAUUCCAUUCUCUUGUA